ACAAUAGCUCAGUGGUAGAGCACCUGCUUGGCAUGCAGAAGGCAUCAUGUUCAAUAAGGCAGCUUCCUGUGUUUAAAUA